UUUUAUAAUGUGCAACAGAAAAUAAAUGCUGAUUCCUUAAAAGGAAAAGGAUCAAGACUCACUAUCAGAACUCCAAACAUGGUGGACGAGUAUCAUACCACACUAUGAAAAAUGCUGAAAGUCAGAGAAAUGACUAAGGUCCUGAAGACUCUGUUCUCUCUCCCUCGCCUCAAGAAGACAUAGGUAAAGAAAUGCCUGGAGCCCUCUCUAAGAUAGACUCCCGUGUGAGUGACCAAAGGUUAAAGGUCAACUUCAUCAAGUCAUCUCAUUAACACAGAAAUGUCUUUGAACGUAUUCAGUCUUUGCCAUGCUUGACAUUUCACCAGACUGCAACCAAGACGCCAAAGAAUCAGAUUCAAAUAUUAAUGAGCAAAAGGUCACAAUGAGGUCAGCUGGGGGUCAGGCUGAAGAAGUAGUCCCUUCCUGGCACAGAGGGAAGACAGCCAUGGCAGAACAAUGUAAUGAUUCUCAAGGAUUCUGCUCGAAGGUGACAUCCAUCCAUUCUGUUCACAUUUCACUGGACACAGGACAUCACAUGGUCACACUUGAGGUCAUUGGGUAGAGAAUUUUAAUUCUCUCACAAGGAGAGGCAAUAAAUAA